GAUGAACGCUGGCGGCGUGCCUAAUACAUGCAAGUCGAGCGAACGGACGAGAAGCUUGCUUCUCUGAUGUUAGCGGCGGACGGGUGAGUAACACGUGGAUAACCUACCUAUAAGACUGGGAUAACUUCGGGAAACCGGAGCUAAUACCGGAUGAUAUUUUGAACCGCAUGGUUCAAAAGUGAAAGACGGUCUUGCUGUCACUUAUAGAUGGAUCCGCGCUGCAUUAGCUAGUUGGUAAGGUAACGGCUUACCAAGGCAACGAUGCAUAGCCGACCUGAGAGGGUGAUCGGCCACACUGGAACUGAGACACGGUCCAGACUCCUACGGGAGGCAGCAGUAGGGAAUCUUCCGCAAUGGGCGAAAGCCUGACGGAGCAACGCCGUGUGAGUGAUGAAGGUCUUCGGAUCGUAAAACUCUGUUAUUAGGGAAGAACAUAUGUGUAAGUAACUGUGCACACCUUGACGGUACCUAAUCAGAAAGCCACGGCUAACUACGUG
rnacentral:rRNA from 1 species